UCUUUAUAAAUAAAAAUAAAAAUAAUAAAUAUUUAUAAGUUAAAUUUUUAUUUAUUAAAUUGGGGUGAUUAAAAAAUUAAAUUAAUUUUUUUUUUAUUUAAACAAUAAUUUUUGAAUUUUUUAUCUAUUAAUAAUAAAUUAAGAAAAAGU
rnacentral:rRNA from 1 species